CAGUAAAUAAUUUAAAUAAAAAUACUAAUUUUGGAAAUUAGAAAUAAUCAUUAGUUUUUACUGA
rnacentral:tRNA from 1 species